UUUGUGAUUGCCGAAACUCAAAGAAAAGAAAUAGGAAAAAAAUUUAGGAACAUUCGGUCACUUGGAAGCUCAAAUUCAAGGUUAAAUAUAGAUCAAGAAACAAAGAGAGCGGAUUUGGAUCGGGGAAAAACGAAAGUAAUCGAAUAGUCGAUCGUGUCCGUUGAUAUCCGAGAUUUUGGAGACACGUUACGAGCUCGGGGAUCGUCAGCAUAGCCUAUCACACUAUCGACUUCUUUUGGUAUUUUGUUAACAGUUUGAACUUGAUCUUAUGGCAUGUAUAGGUUUGAGUAUGAUUUUGGUUAAAUUUGGAUUGUAUAAAAUAAUUAGCCAUGUGAAUAUGGUUUAAUUUCUAUGUUUGUGAUCGGUUUGGUUUUUAAAAAAAAAAUGGUUGUGUCAGUUCGGUAAUGCCUCGUAACCCUAAUUCGACGACGGAUAUGGGUUAGGGGUGUUACAAUGAUUAUUAAAUUAAAGACUUGUUUUUGGCAUCA